rnacentral:lncRNA from 1 species
UAUUUUGUUGCAGGAAAUAUGGCUGUCCAAAAGUCGAAAGCUGUUAAAAACGGAAAAAUCUACUACUAUCCUGCUACAGGAUUCAUUGAAGAGAGGCUUCGUAAUGUGCGAAAGAAGAUAAGGAGUCAUGGAUUUGAUCAGCAAUCACAUGAAGUCAAUGAACCACAGAGGGUUCAAAUACCAGAAUCGAUGGUGCCGGAAGAGCGGUCACAACAACAAAAGGAGUGGCUGAAACACAACUGCUACCCUCUAACCCAAGUACAGGAGUACAUGGAGGAAACAGCUCUCUACAGAGCGAAUUGGAUUCGAGCAAAUCCCUCCAGAGGCAUUUUUGAGAUUCUGGCUGAGUACCCUCGCCUCACCAGUUCAG